AUUGAACGCUGGCGGCAUGCCUUACACAUGCAAGUCGAACGGCAGCACGGACUUCGGUCUGGCGGCGAGUGGCGAACGGGUGAGUAAUACAUCGGAACGUACCCUGUUGUGGGGGAUAACUAGUCGAAAGAUUAGCUAAUACCGCAUACGACCUGAGGGUGAAAGUGGGGGACCGCAAGGACUCACGCAGCAGGAGCGGCCGAUGUCUGAUUAGCUAGUUGGUGGGGUAAAGGCCCACCAAGGCGACGAUCAGUAGCUGGUCUGAGAGGACGAUCAGCAACACUGGGACUGGGACACGGCCCAGACUCCUACGGGAGGCAGCAGUGGGGAAUUUUGGACAAUGGGGGCAACCCUGAUCCAGCAUUGCCGCGUGUGUGAAGAAGGCCUUCGGGUUGUAAAGCACUUUUGUCCGGAAAGAAAUCGCGCUGGUUAAUACCUGGCGUGGAUGACGGUACCGGAAGAAUAAGCACCGGCUAACUACGUGCCAGCCGCCGCCGUAA
rnacentral:rRNA from 1 species